rnacentral:lncRNA from 1 species
GGAGAAGCAUUUUCAGGUGUCAAGACACCAGCAUCAGCAUCUUUGCUUUCUUGUGAAAUGUGCUUUCUGGUUUAUUCUUCUGCCGUUCAGAAGCACACCCUGCCUUAGCACACCCAUUUCAAAUCAUUUUUGACUGUGGAUUUGUCCUGUAGAUGUGAACAUAUAUACACACAGACAAGCAUGUUUGCAGGCCAAGCCAUACUUUCUUUGGAGUUCACCACAAAUAGGAUGGCUAAUUUUUGACCAGAUGAUCUUUAGAAAUCCUCCCAAAGCAAACCAUUUUACGAUUCAACAUCAUUUUGGUUUAGAGAAAGACUGAAAGAAUCAUUACCAAUCAAUUGCUGAGAUGCUCAUAAGACUCAGCUCGGGUGUCAGUCAGAACCCACUGAGCUAUGAAGUCACUAUACUAGCUUUAUUCCUGAGUAGAGAUGCUGUGCUCUUGGAUGCCUUCUACUGUUUGUCACAUAAUGAAGGCAGUGUCCAACCUGACAAAGCUGCUGAGGGUGCCAGAGUUGAAGAGGGCAGAGGGAGAAAAAGAAGGAGAGAGCUGUAAGCAAAAUACUUAGAUUAUGUCAGUGAAGAUUUAGAGAAAGGUUCAAGUAUCUAGAAGCUUCAAGUACAUUUUUGAUCCCUUUUGGAUCUGACUAACCUUUCUUGACUGGCUGGUUGCUGGUUUUGGAGCUGCCGCAAGACAUGCCCACCGGGCAGUUGGGUGUCAAGCUGUUCCAGACAGAACAUUUUGAAACAUCUAAUAUGAAAGUGUCAAACUACUUUGUCCAGGAGAUGAGUGUGAUCUGAUGUGGUGGUUUCACACUAAAAGGUAGCUGAACUCCACUGCGUUGCUGAUUCUUUUUACCUUCUCAAAGGAACAGGAGGAGAAGACAUGGAGAUCUUAUGUCAGUUACCAUCAGGGGCAAAAUAGACUCAGCAUAGAGAGAUUAAUGUAAUAUAUUGUCAACUGAUAACAGUCUAAGACAGUGAGAAACAGAAGCAGACUAAACCCUAUUUCCUCCUACCUCCUGCCACACUGUGAGCGUCAUUCCAAGGCUGCAGCCCAGGGCUGAUCUUGCAGGGACUAUCUACAGGCUGUACCUCCUCCAGACCUCAUCUAGCAUUGCACUGCUUACUCCUCCGUUGCUGUGUGGGGCAGUGUACUCCAUGCAGAGUGUACAGGCUGCAGGGAGCUUCUGUUCUGCACCCAGAACACCUCCUGCCCUCCUCCUGCACUGCCCUUGGUGCCUGUAGGG